rnacentral:rRNA from 1 species
GACGAACGCUGGCGGCGUGCCUAAUACAUGCAAGUAGAACGCUGAAGGAGGAGCUUGCUUCUCUGGAUGAGUUGCGAACGGGUGAGUAACGCGUAGGUAACCUGCCUGUUAGCGGGGGAUAACUAUUGGAAACGAUAGCUAAUACCGCAUAAGAGUAUAUGUUGCAUGACAUUUGCUUAAAAGGUGCAAUUGCAUCACUACCAGAUGGACCUGCGUUGUAUUAGCUAGUUGGUGGGGUAACGGCUUACCAAGGCGACGAUACAUAGCCGACCUGGGAGGGGGAUCGGCCAAACUGGGACUGAGACACCGCCCAGACUCCUACGGGAAGCAGCAGUAGGGGAUCUUCGGGAAUGGACGGAAGUCUGACCGAGCAACGCCGCGGGAGUGAAGAAGGGUUUCGGAUCGUAAAGCCCUGUUGUAAGAGAAGAACGAGUGUGAGAGUGGAAAGUUCACACUGUGACGGUAUCUUACCAGAAAGGGACGGCUAACUACGUG